UACAGAGGGGGCAAGCGUUGUUCGGAAUUACUGGGCGUAAAGGGCGCGUAGGCGGCCUUCUAAGUCGAACGUGAAAGCCCCCGGCUCAACCGGGGAAUUGCGCCCUAAACUGGCGAGCUGGAGUGAGAUAGGGGUGUGUGGAACUUCCGGUGGAGCGGUGAAAUGUGUUGAUAUCGGAAGGAACGCCGGUGGCGAAAGCGACACACUGGAUCUUGUCUGACGCUGAGGCACGAAAGCCAGGGGAGCGAACGGG
rnacentral:rRNA from 1 species